AUACUUACCUGGACGGGGUGAAUGGAUGAUCAACAAGAUCCAUGGCCUAGGCUGGUGACCUCCAUUGCACUUAGGAAGGGUGCUCGCCUAAGGUCUCCCCAAGUGGGAGAGCCUACGUCAUAAUGUGGUAGUGGGGGUUUGUGUUCGCGCAGCCCCUGU